CAUGCGCCACAAGUGGUAUCCAUGUUUAUUGGGUCUAAAGCGUUCGUAGCCGGUUAGGCAAAUUUUGUGUGAAAUCGUUGGGCUUAACCCAACGACGGGCACGAAACACUACCAAACUUGAGACCGGGAGGGGACAGAGGUAUUCUGGGGGGAGCGGUAAAAUGUUAUAAUCCUCAGAGGACCACCAGUGGCGAAGGCUUCUGUCCAGAACGGGUCUGACGGUGAGGAACGAAGGCUAGGGGAGCAAACCGGAUUAGAUACCCGAGUAGUCC
rnacentral:rRNA from 1 species